GAUGAAGAACACAGUGAAAUGCGAUAAGUAAUGUGAAUUGCAGAAUUCAGUGAAUCAUCGAAUCUUUGAACGCACAUUGCGCCCCCUGGUAUUCCGGGGGGCAUGCCUGUCCGAGCGUCAUUACAACCCUCAAGCUCAGCUUGGUGUUGGGCCCCGCCGCCCCGGCGGGCCCUAAAGUCAGUGGCGGUGCCGUCCGGCUCCGAGCGUAGUAAUUCUUCUCGCUCUGGAGGUCCGGUCGUGUGCUCGCCAGCAACCCCCAAUUUUUUUCAGGUUGACCUCGGAUCAGGUAGGGAUACCCGCUGAACUUAAGCAUAUCAAUAAGCGGAGGA
rnacentral:misc_RNA from 1 species